GUUUAUAUGUGCAUGCUCAAUUGUUAGAAAUUUUAAAAAACUUAUGAAAAAUGUAGAAUUUUAUAGUUUAAAUUUAAAUGGGGAAUAUCAGACGAGUGGCCUGAUGCUUUCGACGAUCUCUGCAGCUUCCACAAAUGCGCAUUGAGAAGAAAUAAACCAGUUCGAUGAAGCUCAAGCUGGAGAUGCCCAUAAACAAGCCUAAUAUGCCUCCGAAAUUGGAUAUCAACGUUGAUAAACCAAAGAGAAUUGUUCUCUUAAUGGCUGUGAACUGUUGCUCCUUGAAGAAGACGGUCAGACGAGAGCCGAUAGAACUGCAAAAUUUAGGUUCGUAAAGGUCUUCAAUUUAUUUUAUUUAAUAUUAUACUAUUAUAUACUCACUCGGUGAGUUCGUACGAACCACGAAACGCUAUAAUAGUUUUUGUAGAAUUAUAUUCGGCUCGGGAGAUUUCAAAGUUGUAUUCAAGCGAUGUGCAUGCUGGCAUGCAAUCGCACAUAACCUUGACAUUGGGAUUUACAGUCUUCUGCAUAGUCUGAUUCUGUAGCAAGGCAUUAAGCUCAUCCUGUGCGGCAUUAUAACAGGCUAUUCCAGCUACACCACAAACUGGAACAUCCAAGGGCUCUGCAAGUAACGGAUUGAGACAAGGCAAUUGCCAGCUAAUCAUAUCACUUACUAGGCAUCCAGAACUUGACGCAACCACAUUUGGCUAUGGUAUAGUUGGCCAGGCAUUCGGUCUGGCAAUUGCUCUGCGAAUAAGCUUUAAAGUAGCGAAGAGCGCGCUCAUCAUCAAAGUAACACUGGCGCCUACAAAAUAAAUGUACAUAUAUUAUAAUUACUUCGAAUGAAAUACCCCUUUGAAAGUUCUCACUUUUCGGCGCUAAUUUCGUGUAAAUUACUUGUGGACACGACAUAAUUGGGCAGUACGCCAACCAUAACCUCGCUACCAUGAGGAACAAGUAUGUAAUUAUUUGAGGUAAGCGGCACACUCUCUGGUGAGUUGAGGAAUACCUGAAAUUUCCACCGUUAGUGCACAGUAUGAAAAGUCAAGAAUGACCCACCUUGUAACCCUGCUUAAAACUGCGACAGUCGUAGUCAUAGUUAUGCUCGAGCCCCUGCAAAAAUGCAAAGAAUCCAUUCCGCACUGACGACGCAAUUGUUCGCUGAGGAUACGAAUUUUGUCCCUGAUCGACAUAGCCCGUAUCCAAGGACCAAUUUCCGGAUAUCUUAUUGAGAGGAGGUAAAUCGGCAUCGAAGUAAUCGUCAAAGCUAACCACAUCAGGAUCAAUGUAGCUGAUAAAACGUUCAUCUCGAUAUAUAUCCUUGGGUCGAAGUCCAUUAAACUGAUAGCAAAUACCCUCAUCGGUGGCCACAAAGUCAAAUAUUUUAUUGCAGAAAUAGAAACGUCCAUUCCAUCUGCAAAACGGACCCGUCACAUUCUUCGAAAUGGUUAAAUCCACAAGAGUUUCUGACACAUCCAGUGGCGGUAAUCCAGAGCGUAGAUUCGACAGCAAAGGGGCAAAUCUGGUUGCCACAUCCGAGUCACAAAUGUGCAUAGUGGCAGCCAUGCGUUGCAAGCUACAAAACGAUAGAUUAUAAAAUAUGAUAUUUUCGAUAGAACUAUGUCUCCCAAUCUGUACUCAACUCUUCUUCGUUAAUGUCGGAGAAGUCCUCGUUCUGCUGGUAUUUAUCCCAAAUCAGUCGCGAUACAUUAGCAUAGUCAAAAACGUUGCGUUCCAUUUUGAUUUCAGGACAUAUUGUAAUAGUGGGAAAGGGAAUCUUGUGCACAGGCACGAGUGUCUCAUCAAAACCCAAAAUCACCGGAGAGUCUUGCCACUUAAGGGAAUAUCGGAUGAAUGGCCUGACGCUUUCGACGAUCUCUGCAGCUUCCACAAAUGCGGAUUGAGAAGAAAUAAACCAGUUCUAUGAAGCUCAAGCUGGAGAUGCCCAUAAACAAGCCAAAUAUGCCGCCGCAAUUGGAUAUCAACGUAGAUACACCAAAGAGAAUUGUUCGCUUAAUGGCUGUGAACUGAUGCUCCUUGAAGUAGACGGUCAGACGAGAGCCGAUAGAACUGCAAACAAAUUGGAUCGUAAAAGUCUUCAAUUAACUGAUAUCUCACUGUAGUACUAUAUACAUAAUACUAAUAUAUACUUACUCGGUGAGUUCGUAUGUUUCACGAAAGGCUGCAAUAGUUUUUGAUGCAUUAUACACGGCACGAGAGAUUUCAAAGUUGUAUUCAAGCGAUGUGCAUGCUGGCAUACAAUCGCACAUAACCUUGACAUUGGGAUUUACAGUCUUCUGCAUGGUCUGAUUUUGUAGCAAGGCAUUAAGCUCAUCCUGUGCGGCAUUAUAACAGGCUAUUCCAGCUACACCACAAACUGGAACAUCCAAGGGCUCUGCAAGUAACGGGAGGUGUAACAAUUGGUUUGAGGCAAGGCAAUUGCCAGCUAAUCAUAUCACUUACUAGGCAUCCAGAACUUGACGCAACCACACUUGGCCAUGGUAUAGUUGGCCAGGCAUUCGGUCUGGCAAUUGCUCUGCGAGUAAGCUUUAAAGUAGCGAAGAGCGCGCUCAUCAUCGAAGAAACACUGCCGCCUGCAAAAUAAAUGUAUAUUAUAAUUACUUCAAAUGAAAUACCCUAUUGGAUGCUCUCACUUUUCGGCGCUAAUUUCGUGUAAAUUACUUGUGGACACGACAUAAUUGGGCAGAACGCUAACCAUAACCUCGCUACCAUGAGGAACAAGUAUGUAAUUAUUUGAGGUAAGCGGCACACUCUCUGGUGAGUUGAGGAAUACCUGAAAUUUCACACUUUUAGUGCACUGUAUGUAUAUGGAGAGUCAAUAAAGACCCACCUUGUAACCCUGCUUAAAACUGCGACAGUCGUAGUCGUAGUUAUGCUCAAGACCCUGCAAAAAAGCAAAGAAUCCAUUCCGCACUGACGUCACAACUGUUCGCUGAGGAUACGAAUUUUGUCCCUGAUCGACGAAGCCCGUGUCCAGGGACCAAUUUCCGGUAAUCUUAUUGAGAGGAGGUAAAUCGACAUCGAAGUAAUUGUCAAAACUAACCACAUCCGGAUCAACGUAGCUGACAAAGCGUUCAUCUCGAUAUAUAUCCUUGGGUCGAAGUCCAUUAAACUGAUAGCAAAUACCCUCAUCGGUGGCCACAAAGUCAAAUAUUUUAUUGCAGAAAUAGAAACGUCCAUUCCAUCUGCAAAACGGACCCGUCACAUUCUUCGAAAUGGUUAAAUCCACAAGAGUUUCUGACACAUCCAGUGGCGGUAAUCCAGAGCGUAGAUUCGAUAGCAAAGGGGCAAAUCUGGUUGCCACAUCCGAGUCACAAAUGUGCAUAGUGGCAGCCAUCCGAUGCAAGCUACAAAACGAUAGAUUAUAAAAUAUGAUAUUUUCGAUAGAACUAUGUCUCCCAAUCUGUACUCAACUCUUCUUCGUUAAUGUCGGAGAAGUCCUCGUUCUGCUGGACAUAUUGUAAUGGUGGGAAAGGGAAUCUUGUGCACAGGCACGAGUGUCUCAUCAAAACCCAAAAUCACCGGAGAGUCUUGCCACUUAAGUGUAAACAUACUUCUCGUAAAUGGGUCGAUGCACCUCGAAUAUAUAGCGUAUGCCGUGAAUAGUCGUGCUCUUCGAGUACUCCAGCAGGAGACCCUUGCAAGCGGACAGACGACUGCCGUAUCUAAUCCGAGAU